AGAGUUUGAUCAUGGCUCAGGAUGAACGCUGGCGGCGUGCCUAACACAUGCAAGUCGAACGAAGCAUUCCGGCCCGACAUCUUCGGAUAGAAAGCCGGUCUGACUGAGUGGCGGACGGGUGAGUAACGCGUGGAUAACCUGCCUCAUACAGGGGGAUAACAGUUAGAAAUGACUGCUAAUACCGCAUAAGCGCACGAUACCGCAUGGUAACGUGUGAAAAACUCCGGUGGUAUGAGAUGGAUCCGCGUCUGAUUAGCCAGUUGGCGGGGUAACGGCCCACCAAAGCGACGAUCAGUAGCCGACCUGAGAGGGUGACCGGCCACAUUGGGACUGAGACACGGCCCAAACUCCUACGGGAGGCAGCAGUGGGGAAUAUUGCACAAUGGGGGAAACCCUGAUGCAGCGACGCCGCGUGAGCGAAGAAGUAUUUCGGUAUGUAAAGCUCUAUCAGCAGGGAAGAAAAUGACGGUACCUGACUAAGAAGCUCCGGCUAAAUACGUGCCGGCAGCCGCGGUAAUACGUAUGGAGCAAGCGUUAUCCGGAUUUACUGGGUGUAAAGGGGAGCGUAGGCGGUACGGCAAGUCAGAAGUGAAAUGCCGGGGCUCAACCCCGGAACUGCUUUUUGAAACUGCCGGACUGGAUUGCAGGAGAGGUAAGUGGAAUUCCUAGUGUAGCGUUGAAAUGCGUAGAUAUUAGGAGAACACCAGUGGCGAAGGCGGCUUACUGGACUGUAAAU
rnacentral:rRNA from 1 species